GGCCAGGUGCUUCGAGGGAAUGAACAGAACAGGUAUAGCUAAGCAGGACUCAAGUUUCACUAUAUAAACUGGGGUCCAAGAAGGAGAUCAGCAAAAGAAAACGAAGAAGGAAAGACCUGGAAGAAGAACUCACCUCUAAGACACAGCCUAAGAUCAGAGCUGCUAAGAAUCCUCUGCACAACCAUGAUGUGCAGCAACCAGAAGCCAGACGAGACCAACCUUGCCUGGCCAACAGGGAAAGUCAGCCUCCAUGAUCAGGAUUGUCCCUGGCUUGUCAGAGGAUGGGAAUGUUUCAGAGACAACAUACUCAGCCACUCAGGAUAUGGCUACACUGAAGCUGGAAGUGAGCCUUCCAGCCUGGACAGACAGACUUGUGAUAGCAGAACUACUGCUAGCAUGCUAAAAAUAGCUGUAUUAACAUUGCAGUCUAAGCUUGGAUAGCUUGAAAGCUUGUCUCUUUUAACAACAAAAGUUGGUCCAAUAAAAGAUAUUAACUCACACACCUGGUGUGUCUAAUAAUUUGGGACUAACAUGGCUACAACAACACUAGCA